rnacentral:ncRNA from 2 species
CUAUGGUCUAAAUUUUCAGGUGUCCAAACGGACUUAAUAGGGAACGCCGUAAAAACGGGACGGGCCCGCCGCUGUGACCUCAUUUUUCGAUCAUCUGAUUUUAUUUUUGGAAGACCCGGUCGACGAAAUUGACCACUGCCGGGCACACCAUGGUACAAAAACACCAAGUGCCGGACGGGAAGGUGGUUGACCGAGCAUUGAGGGAGUCAGAAGACCUGCCUGAAAACAAACUUUGUU